rnacentral:rRNA from 1 species
CAGUAGCCGCGGUAAUACAGAGGGUGCAAGCGUUAAUCGGAAUUACUGGGCGUAAAGCGCGCGUAGGUGGUUUGUUAAGUUGAAUGUGAAAUCCCCGGGCUCAACCUGGGAACUGCAUCCAAAACUGGCAAGCUAGAGUAUGGUAGAGGGUGGUGGAAUUUCCUGUGUAGCGGUGAAAUGCGUAGAUAUAGGAAGGAACACCAGUGGCGAAGGCGACCACCUGGACUGAUACUGACACUGAGGUGCGAAAGCGUGGGGAGCAAACAGGAUUAGAUACCCCUGUAGUCCCUGUCUCUUAUAC